AUUUUCUACAAUGGGGGCAACCCUGAUCCAGCCAUCCCGCGUGUAUGAUGAAGGCAUUCGGGUUGUCAUGUAUUUUUGGCAGAGUAGCAAAGGUAUCUCCUAAUACGAGAUACUGCUGACGGUAUCUGCAGCAUAAGCACCGGCUAACUACGUGCUAUCAGCCGCGGUAAUACGUAGGGUGCAAGCGUUAAUCGGAAUUACUGGGCGUAAAGCGUGUGUAGGCGGUUCGGAAAGAAAGAUGUGAGAUCCCAGGGCUCAACCUUGGAACUGCAUUUUUAACUGCCGAGCUAGAGUAUGUCAGAGGGGGGUAGAAUUCCACGUGUAGCAGUGAAAUGCGUAGAUAUGUGGAGGAAUACCGAUGGCGAAGGCAGUCCCCUGGGAUAAUACUGACGCUCAGACACGAAAGCGUGGGGAGCAAACA
rnacentral:rRNA from 1 species